rnacentral:rRNA from 1 species
CUUAUGAAGUUAGCGGCGGACGGGUGAGUAACACGUGGGUAACCUGCCCAUAAGACUGGGAUAACUCCGGGAAACCGGGGCUAAUACCGGAUAACAUUUUGAACCGCAUGGUUCGAAAUUGAAAGGCGGCUUCGGCUGUCACUUAUGGAUGGACCCGCGUCGCAUUAGCUAGUUGGUGAGGUAACGGCUCACCAAGGCAACGAUGCGUAGCCGACCUGAGAGGGUGAUCGGCCACACUGGGACUGAGACACGGCCCAGACUCCUACGGGAGGCAGCAGUAGGGAAUCUUCCGCAAUGGACGAAAGUCUGACGGAGCAACGCCGCGUGAGUGAUGAAGGCUUUCGGGUCGUAAAACUCUGUUGUUAGGGAAGAACAAGUGCUAGUUGAAUAAGCUGGCACCUUGACGGUACCUAACCAGAAAGCCACGGCUAACUACGUGCCAGCAGCCGCGGUAAUACGUAGGUGGCAAGCGUUAUCCGGAAUUAUUGGGCGUAAAGCGCGCGCAGGUGGUUUCUUAAGUCUGAUGUGAAAGCCCACGGCUCAACCGUGGAGGGUCAUUGGAAACUGGGAGACUUGAGUGCAGAAGAGGAAAGUGGAAUUCCAUGUGU